CACAGUGUAGCAAUACAUGGGUGGCGACCGGCAAACGGGUGCGGAACACGUACGCAACCUUCCUUCAGGCGGGGAAUAGCCCAGAGAAAUUUGGAUUAAUACCCCAUAAUAUUUUGAGAUGGCAUCAUCUUAUUAUUGAAGCUACGGCACCUGGAGAUGGGCGUGCGGCUGAUUAGGUAGUUGGCGGGGUAAUGGCCCACCAAGCCUACGAUCAGUAGCUGAUGUGAGAGCAUGAUCAGCCACACGGGCACUGAGACACGGGCCCGACUCCUACGGGAGGCAGCAGUAAGGAAUAUUGGUCAAUGGACGCAAGUCUGAACCAGCCAUGCCGCGUGGAGGAUGAAGGUCCUCUGGAUUGUAAACUUCUUUUAUCUGGGACGAAAAAAGGGUUUUCUAACUCGUCUGACGGUACCAGAUGAAUAAGCACCGGCUAACUCCGUGCCAGCAGCCGCGGUAAUACGGAGGGUGCAAGCGUUAUCCGGAUUCACUGGGUUUAAAGGGUGCGUAGGCGGGCAUUUAAGUCAGUGGUGAAAUACCUGAGCUUAACUUGGGAACUGCCAUUGAUACUAUUUGUCUUGAAUGUCGUGGAGGUUAGCGGAAUAUGUCAUGUAGCGGUGAAAUGCUUAGAUAUAACAUAGAACACCUAUUGCGAAGGCAGCUAACUACGCGAAUAUUGACGCUGAGGCACGAAAGCGUGGGGAUCAAACAGGAUUAGAUACCCUGGUAGUCCACGCCCUAAACGAUGAUUACUCGACAUUAGCGAUACACUGUUAGUGUCUGAGCG
rnacentral:rRNA from 1 species